ACAGACGGAUCACAGCAAAGACCAACAGCUUCACUGCAGGGGAAUGCAUUCACUUUGCUUCCAGACGCAGAUCCUGCAGGAUUGGCUGCUGCUUUGCUCAGACAUUGUUCUUUAAAUGGAAUCGCUGGAUUAACUCAAUAUAAUUUGAUUUUUUCUGUA